UUAUCCAUAUGAGUAAUGAUGUUUGAUAGACCUAAGUAAUUUGGUACGUAUUCUAUACUCAUAUGGAUAACUCACGUACAUUUGGGAAAUCAUCCCACUAAGCAAUUCCAGUGUGCGUUAUCCAUAUGAGUAAUGAUGUUUGAUAGACCUAAGUAAUUUGGUAUGUAUUCUAAUAUUUUGUAUUACUAUUUUCUUUUCUAUGAUUUAAAACCAAACUAGGGUGAAAAUUAUUUUGUCAUAGCAAGGCCUCGUGGCGAUGUCGAGACAAUGAAUUCUACCGCAUCAUCGGGCACUUCAAUUUUUUCUUCAUUUUUUUCGACUGAAUCUUCGGGUUUGCGCCUAUUAGUUCUAAAUCCUCCACGAGUUCUGUCAUAUACACCUUUCAAAAAGUUUACCACUUCUGUGAGUAUCUUUCCCCUAGGUAUUUUCUUAAUCGGACCCCAUCUAUGGUUGAUAACUGGAAAUUGCUGGUCACCUCUGUUCGAAGAAUC
rnacentral:lncRNA from 1 species